CUACGGGUGGCAGCAGUCGCGAAUCAUUUACAAUGCGCGCAAGCGUGAUAAUGCGAGCCAAAGUGUUUUUCGUUUAGAAAAACUUUUCUUUACUGUAAAAAUGUAGAGGAAUAAGGACUGGGAAAGACCGGUGCCAGCCGCCGCGGUAAUACCGGCAGUUCAAGUUGCAUCCCUUUUUAUUGGGUCUAAAACAUCCGUAGCUUGGAAUUUAAGUCUCUUGUGAAAUCUCACGUCUCAAGCGUGGUGAAGUGCAGGAGAUACUGGAUUCCUAGAGAUCGGUAGACGUAAGGAGCACGCCGGGGGUAAUGGUAAAAUAUGUUAAUCCUCGGUGGACUAACAAUGAGCGAAGGCACCUUACGAGGACGAAUCUGACAGUGAGGGAUGAAGGCUAGGGGCGCAAAACGGAUUAGAUACCCCCGUAGUC
rnacentral:rRNA from 1 species